GAUGAACGCUGGCGGCGUGCCUAAUACAUGCAAGUCGAGCGAACGGACGAGAAGCUUGCGUCUCUGUUGUUAGCGGCGGACGGGCGAGUGACACGCGGAUACCCUACCUAUAAGACUGGGAUAACUUUGGGAAACAGGAGCUAAUACCGGAUGAUACAUUGAAUCGCAUAGUUCACAAAUUAAAGACGGUGUUGCUGUCACUUAUAGAUGGUUCCGCGCUGCAUUCGCUAGUUGGUACGGUACCGGCUCACCAAGGCAACGAUGCAUAGCCGACCUGAGAGGGUGAUCGGCCACACUGGAACUGAGACACGGUCCAGACUCCUACGGGAGGCAGCAGUAGGGAAUCUUCCGCAAUGGGCGAAAGCCUGACGGAGCAACGCCGCGUGAGUGAUGAAGGUCUUCGGAUCGUAAAACUCUGUUAUGAGGGAAGAACAUAUGUGUAAGUAACUGUGCACAUCUUGACGGUACCUAAUCAGAAAGCCACGGCUAACUACGUG
rnacentral:rRNA from 1 species